AUUGAAUCUAGUCAAUUCAAAGCAUUUACAGCUGGUGCUAAAAUAAAUCAGCAUCUUUCUGCAGAAUCAAUACUUUAGCCAGAGCUCAGACCAAAGGAUGAAACAGUGCUUCUCUUGCUAAGCACUUAUUUCUUAAGUUUUGUGCUUCAGCAGAGUGACCAAAACAAUGUUUGCUCUGAAGAUUCCCACACAAGAUCUUUUGCCCUGUCCCUUUCCCGGAAAACAAUUUCAGGCUCAAGAAACAAAGCACCACAAAUGAAAAUGCUAUCUAUUUCUUCAAUAGCUAAAUCACAUGGAGAGGUCUACUUCUCAGGUAAACUGU
rnacentral:lncRNA from 11 species